CGUCUGUGUUGCGAGUCGCCUAGGAACAACAACACAGUUGCUUGGCAGUCAUUCUCUGUCGCAAAUUUGAAAUUAACUAAUGUGAAUCAAUAAAGGAGAG